GACGAACGCUGGCGGCGUGCUUGACACAUGCGAGUCGAACGGAAAGGCCUGCUUUCCCUUGUGGAUUGCGGGUACUCGAGUGGCGAACGGGUGAGUAACACGUGAGUGAUCUGCCCCCAACUUGGGUAUAAGCCUGGGAAACUGGGUCUAAUUCCCGAUAGGACUGCAGGGUGGUGCCUGUGGUGGAAAACGAUUUUCUAGUGGUUGGGGAUGAGCUCGCGGCCUAUCAGCUUGUUGGUGGGGUAAUGGCCUACCAAGGCGGCGACGGGUAGCCGGCCUGGGGGGGUUGGCCGGCACAUUUGGACUUGGGUACGGCCCAGACUCCUACGGGAGGCAGCAGUGGGGAAUAUUGCACAAUGGGCGGAAGCCUGAUGCAGCGACGCCGCGUGGGGGAUGACGGCCUUCGGGUUGUAAACUCCUUUCGACCGCGAGGAAGCCACCUGGUUGGAAGGGUGGUGACGGUAGUGGUAGAAGAAGCACCGGCUAACUACGUG
rnacentral:rRNA from 1 species